rnacentral:misc_RNA from 1 species
UCUCCGUUGGUGAACCAGCGGAGGGAUCAUUACCGAGUUUACAACUCCCAAACCCAAUGUGAACCAUACCAAACUGUUGCCUCGGCGGGGUCACGCCCCGGGUGCGUCGCAGCCCCGGAACCAGGCGCCCGCCGGAGGGACCAACCAAACUCUUUCUGUAGUCCCCUCGCGGACGUUAUUUUUACAGCUCUGAGCAAAAAUUCAAAAUGAAUCAAAACUUUCAACAACGGAUCUCUUGGUUCU